rnacentral:rRNA from 1 species
AUGUAUACUUGGUGUAGCUGGAAUCAACCCUGGCUGUGCCGUAGCUAACGCGAUAAGUAUACCGCCUGGGGAGUACGCUCGCAAGGGUGAAACUCAAAAGAAUUGACGGGGACCCGCACAAGCAGUGGAGCAUGUGGUUUAAUUCGAUGCAACGCGAAGAACCUUACCCAGUCUUGACAUAUAGUAGACAAGUACAGAAAUGUACUCUUCCUUCGGGACUGCUAUACAGGUGCUGCAUGGCUGUCGUCAG